UACGGGGGGGGGGCAAGCGUUUGUUCGGAAUUACUGGGCGUAAAGGGCUCGUAGGUGGCCAACUAAGUCGGACGUGAAAUCCCUCGGCUUAACCGGGGGAACUGCGUCCGAUACUGGUUGGCUUGAGUUUGGGAGAGGGAUGCGGAAUUCCAGGUGUAGCGGUGAAAUGCGUAGAUAUCAGGAGGAACACCGGUGGCGAAGGCGGGUCUCUGGGGCCGAUACUGACGGCUGAGGCGCGAAAGCGUGGGGAGCAAACAGG
rnacentral:rRNA from 1 species